AAUACCCGAUGUUGUCCACAUAUGGCAUCUGACGUGGACCAAAGAUUCAUCGGUGGAGGAUGGGGAUGCGUCUGAUUAGCUUGUUGGUGCGGGUAACGGCCCACCAAGGCGACGAUCAGUAGGGGUUCUGAGAGGAAGGUCCCCCACAUUGGAACUGAGACACGGUCCAAACUCCUACGGGAGGCAGCAGUGAGGAAUAUUGGUCAAUGGACGUAAGUCUGAACCAGCCAAGUAGCGUGCAGGAUUGACGGCCCUAUGGGUUGUAAACUGCUUUUGUUGGGGAGUAAAGUGAGGCACGUGUGCCUUUUUGCAUUUACCCUUCGAAUAAGGACCGGCUAAUUCCGUGCCAGCAGCCGCGGUAAUACGGAAGGUCCAGGCGUUAUCCGGAUUUAUUGGGUUUAAAGGGAGUGUAGGCGGUCUGUUAAGCGUGUUGUGAAAUUUAGGUGCUCAACAUCUACCUUGCAGCGCGAACUGGC
rnacentral:rRNA from 1 species